GUGAGGAAUAUUGGUCAAUGGGCGAGAGCCUGAACCAGCCAAGUCGCGUGAGGGAAGACGGUCCUACGGAUUGUAAACCUCUUUUGCCGGGGAGCAAAGGGGCCAUUGAUGGCAGGAUGAGCGUACCCGGAGAAAAAGCAUCGGCUAACUCCGUGCCAGCAGCCGCGGUAAUACGGAGGAUGCGAGCGUUAUCCGGAUUUAUUGGGUUUAAAGGGUGCGCAGGCGGACUCGUCAAGUCAGCGGUAAAAAUUCGGGGCUCAACCCCGUCCUGCCGUUGAAACUGCGAGACUGGAGUGCGACAGAGGAAAGCGGAAUGCGAGGUGUAGCGGUGAAAUGCAUAGAUAUCGCGCAGAACUCCGAUUGCGAAGGCAGCUUUCCAUGUCGUGACUGACGCUGAGGCACGAAAGCGUGGGGAUCGAACAGGAUUAGAAACCCUAGUAGUCC
rnacentral:rRNA from 1 species